rnacentral:tRNA from 1 species
GGAGAGGUGGCAGAGUGGUUGAACGCGCCCGCUUGGAAAGCGUGUGACUGUCGAAAGAUGGUCCGAGGGUUCGAAUCCCUCCCUCUCCG